AAGCUCGUAGUUGAAUUUCGAAUGUGGCUGGGCGGUCCGCCUCACGGUGUGUACUGUCUGGCUGUGUUCUCUUUCUUGGUGAGCCGGCAUGCCCUUUACUGGGUGUGUUGGGGAACCAGGACGUUUACCUUGAGAAAAUUAGAGUGUUCAAAGCAGGCCUACGCCCGAAUACAUUAGCAUGGCAUAAUAAAAUAGGACGUGCGGUUCUAUUUUGUUGGUUUCUAGAGCCGCAGUAAUGAUUAAUAGGGAUAGGUUGGG
rnacentral:rRNA from 1 species